rnacentral:rRNA from 1 species
AACGAACGCUGGCGGCAUGCCUAACACAUGCAAGUCGAACGAGACCUUCGGGUCUAGUGGCGCACGGGUGCGUAACGCGUGGGAACCUGCCCUUAGGUUCGGAAUAACUCCCCGAAAGGGGUGCUAAUACCGGAUAAUGUCUUCGGACCAAAGAUUUAUCGCCUUUGGAUGGGCCCGCGUUGGAUUAGCUAGUUGGUAGGGUAAAAGCCUACCAAGGCGACGAUCCAUAGCUGGUCUGAGAGGAUGAUCAGCCGCACUGGGACUGAGACACGGCCCAGACUCCUACGGGAGGUAGCAGUGGGGAAUAUUGGACAAUGGGCGAAAGCCUGAUCCAGCAAUGCCGCGUGAGUGAUGAAGGCCUUAGGGUUGUAAAGCUCUUUUACCCGGGAUGAUAAUGACAGUACCGGGAGAAUAAGCUCCGGCUAACUCCGUG